ACGAUCGUAGGGACAAGAUAGCCCCUAGUCCUAUUCCCUAUAUAUAGACCACCUAAGCCAAAAACAGACCAAACCAUAGAGCAUAGGUUGUCCCAUCGAGCCGUCGCCAUUCUCAUCCCCUCGGGAUCUCCUCCCAAUCCACUCACCAGCAAACCAACGAGAGUCCCUGACCACCUCCCUUCUUCUCCGCGCCGCUCCAAUCCCAAUCCUCGCACCUGGCUCAUCCUCUGGUCGCGCCGCAGCGCAGCGCCACCCAAUCGCAUGAUCAGAGCCUCCCUUGGGAUCCCCUCACAGCCAACCAGAUGCCCAGCCUGCAGCACCCAACCUCCCUCUCCUCUCGUUCCCAAGGGCAAGGAGACACCCGAGCCGGAGCUCUUACGCAACGCCUAUGGUGCCUCAGGUCCACCUCAACGUCCUCCUCCUCCGGCAGCUGCCUCCCGCCGGUGAUGCCCCGCCAUGGUCAAGGCAGUUGUUGGUUGCCACGAAGCCACAGUGACCGGAGGUCCCCUGCCGCCCUGAGCCCCGCGAUGACCAAGCCUCCUCCAGAUCCGCCCGCCUUCGAAGGUCUGUUGGCCUUCCCAGAGCAUCGCCGCCUCCCUCGCGCUUCUCCCUGAUGUUGCCUCCUCCCGCUUGAUGGGAUCGUGUCAAGGAGCUGCUCGCUUGACCCGACGCUUGCGUGCAUUGACCUUCAGCUCCGCUCAGCCUACACCGCUCGCCAAGGCACACCUAGCUCGCCUACUAGCCCAGCGAGCCUCCUCCUCAAGCCUUCUCUUUCGACUGGGUCGAAGCCCAUGAUGUCCUCAUGAAAGGACUUAGUGUUGGAGCCAUCGCACC